AGUAGGAUAGGCGAAGCGUGCUGUUGGAGUGCACGUCCAAGCAGUAAGGCUGAGUGUUAGGCAAAUCCGGCACUAAUAAGGCUGAGCUGUGAUGGGGAGAGGAAAUUGUUUCCUCGAGUCGCUGAUUUCACACUGCCGAGAAAAGCCUCUAGAUAGAUAACAGGUGCCCGUACCGCAAACCGACACAGGUAGUCAAGAUGAGAAUUCUAAGGUGAGCGAGCGAACUCUCGUUAAGGAACUCGG
rnacentral:rRNA from 1 species